rnacentral:rRNA from 1 species
AACGAACGCUGGCGGCAGGCCUAAUACAUGCAAGUCGAGCGGUAGCACAGAGAGCUUGCUCUCGGGUGACGAGCGGCGGACGGGUGAGUAAUGUCUGGGAAACUGCCUGAUGGAGGGGGAUAACUACUGGAAACGGUAGCUAAUACCGCAUAACGUCGCAAGACCAAAGUGGGGGACCUUCGGGCCUCAUGCCAUCAGAUGUGCCCAGAUGGGAUUAGCUAGUAGGUGGGGUAACGGCUCACCUAGGCGACGAUCCCUAGCUGGUCUGAGGGGAUGACCAGCCAAACUGGAACUGAGACACGGUCCAGACUCCUACGGGAGGCAGCAGUGGGGAAUAUUGCACAAUGGGCGCAAGCCUGAUGCAGCCAUGCCGCGUGUGUGAAGAAGGCCUUCGGGUUGUAAAGCACUUUCAGCGGGGAGGAAGGCGUUAAGGUUAAUAACCUUGGCGAUUGACGUUACCCGCAGAAGAAGCACCGGCUAACUCCGUGCCAGCCGCCGCAGUAA